GACGAACGCUGGCGGCGUGCUUAACACAUGCAAGUGGAGCGACGAACCAGGCUUCGGCCUGGGGCAAAGCCGCGAACGGGUGAGUAACACGUGGGUAACCUGCCCCGAAGAUCGGGACAACCCGGGGAAACCCGGGCUAAUACCGAAUGUGCUCCCGCCACAUCAGUGGCAGGUGCAAAGGAAGCUCCGGCCUCCGCUUCGGGAGGGGCCCGCGGCCCAUUAGCUUGUUGGUGAGGUAACGGCUCACCAAGGCUCCGAUGGGUAGCUGGUCUGAGAGGACGAUCAGCCACACUGGGACUGAGACGCGGCCCAGACUCCUACGGGAGGCAGCAGUGGGGAAUCUUGCGCAAUGCGCGAAAGCGUGACGCAGCAACGCCGCGUGGGGAAGAAGGCCU
rnacentral:rRNA from 1 species